UACGGAGGGUGCAAGCGUUAUCCGGAUUCACUGGGUUUAAAGGGCGCGUAGGCGGCGCGGUAAGUCACUUGUGAAAUCUCUGAGCUUAACUCAGAACGGCCAAGUGAUACUGCAGUGCUAGAGUGUGGAAGGGGCAAUCGGAAUUCUUGGUGUAGCGGUGAAAUGCGUAGAUAUCAAGAGGAACACCUGAGGUGAAGACGGGUUGCUGGGCCAACACUGACGCUGAGGCGCGAAAGUGUGGGGAGCGAACAGG
rnacentral:rRNA from 1 species